GCCGGGAGUUGUGGCGAGCUCUUGUAAACUAGCUUAUAAGUGGCGUAGAAUGAGGAUAAUCUGCCAAUUGGAUUACCAUUUGUCUUCUAUUCAUUGAUGAUCGAAUGUCCGUAUCAAGUGGAGCGUUAACAGGCUAACUUCUUGGGAGCUUGAGGUUAACUGGUUGAUGUCUUAAAGGCAAAUAAAGAAAGAUGUAUGGCUCAGGUCCGAAAGGAAACAGGCAAAAAUCUUCGCGUUUCAACAGUGAUCGGAUGGCAUACGUUAGAUGGUUACAUUCAAGUGCCAAUUGUAUAUGAUUACACUCAUUCUUUU
rnacentral:SRP_RNA from 1 species